AAUGUGGAAUUCGCCCUUCUUCGGUCAUAGAUUAAGCCAUGCAAGUGCUAGUUCAGGCAACGAAACUGCGAACAGCUCAUUAAUACGCUCAGAAUCUAAUUGGCAGCGACCAAAAGGUCUUAGAUGGGAUAGCAGCAGUAAUUCUGGUGCUAAUACAUGCAAUUGUUUCAUCGGAAGUGAACUACGAUGAAAAAGUUGACCGAAAGGCAUGCCAUUCGAUUGAGCGACCUAUCAGCUUGUACUUAGGGUCUUUACCUAGGUAGGCUAUCACGGGUAACGGGCGGUUACCGUCGGACUGCCGGAGAAGGCGCCUGAGAGAUAGCGACUAUAUCUACGGAUAGCAGCAGGCGCGAAACUUACCCACUCGAGACAUUCGGAGGUGGUAAUGACCAGUUUCAAGUCAGCUCCACACGGGGUUGCUUGAAUAGGAUCACACUUUUCUAGUGUGGUGCAACCUAGCAGAGGGCCAGUCUGGUGCCAGCAGCUGCGGUAAUUCCAGCUCUGCAAGUGUGCUCCCAUAUUGUUGCAGUUAAAACGCCCGUAGUCGGAAGAGACUUUUAAGCGGCCACAAACCGCGUUCACUGCGAACAAAUCAGAACGCUUCAGGAAAGGUAUACUUGAAUGACUGAGCGCAGUAUGAAAAUUUUACCGAAGGUAAAAUCAAAGAGAGCCAUCGGGGGUAGAUCUAUUUCUUGGCGAGCGGUGGAAUGCAGUGACCCAAGAGAGAGGAACUAAGGCGAAAGCAUCUACCUAGAGGGUUUCUGUCGAUCAAGGGCGAGAGUAGGAGUGUCGAACCGGAUUAGAGACCCGGGUAGUUCCUACCUUAAACGAUGCCGACUGGGGCUUAUCCAAGUAUAUGGGUAGGACCUCACGAGAAAUCAUAGCUCUUGGGCUCUGGGGGAACUACGACCGCAAGGCUGAAACUUGAAGGAAUUGACGGAAGGGCACACCAGGGGUGGAGCUUGUGGCUUAAUUUGAAUCAACACGGGGAAACUUACCAGGACCAGAUGUUUUAUAAGACUGACAGGCUUAAGGUCUUUCAGGAUUUAACUAUUGGUGGUGCAUGGCCGUUGGUGGUGCGUGGGUUGACCUGCCUAGCGUUGAUUCAGAUAACGAGCGAGAUUACCACCAAUUUUGUACCUUUCAGGAUAACUGUUAGGUUCAAAUUGGGACUCCCUGCGUCUAAGCAGGAGGAAGAGGGUAGCAAUAACAGGUCCGUGAUGUCCUUUAGAUGCCCUGGGCUGCACGCGCGCUACAAUGUGAGGAUCAAAGAGUUACGAGCCUCGACAGGGCAAGUUACUCUCACAAUACCUCACGUACCUGGGAUUGAAGGUUGUAAUCACCUUCAUGAACCAGGAAUCCCUUGUAAGCGUGUGUCAACAACGCACGCUGAAUACGUCCCUGCCCUUUGUACACACCGCCCGUCGCUCCUACUGAUGGAUGAUUCGGUAAAAUCACUGGAGAAUCCUCUAGAAAGUGAUUAAGCCAUAUUAUCUAGAGGAAGGAGAAGUCGUAACAAGGAAGGGCGAAUUCCACAGUG
rnacentral:rRNA from 1 species